rnacentral:rRNA from 1 species
GACGAACGCUGGCGGCGUGCUUAACACAUGCAAGUCGAACGGAAAGGCCCUGCUUGCAGGGUACUCGAGUGGCGAACGGGUGAGUAACACGUGGGUGAUCUGCCCUGCACUUCGGGAUAUGCCUGGGAAACUGGGUCUAAUACCGGAUAGGAGCCAUUUUUAGUGUGAUGGUUGGAAAGUUUUUUCGGUGUAGGAUGAGCUCGCGGCCUAUCAGCUUGUUGGUGGGGUAAUGGCCUACCAAGGCGGCGACGGGUAGCCGGCCUGAGAGGGUGGACGGCCACAUUGGGACUGAGAUACGGCCCAGACUCCUACGGGAGGCAGCAGUGGGGAAUAUUGCACAAUGGGCGCAAGCCUGAUGCAGCGACGCCGCGUGGGGGAUGACGGCCUUCGGGUUGUAAACUCCUUUCGCUAGGGACGAAGCUUUUUGUGACGGUACCGAGAUAAGAAGCACCGGCUAACUACGU